rnacentral:tRNA from 1 species
AGCUUAUUAAUAUUUUAGUUUCGACCUAAAAAUUGGGCAUUGCUCGUGAGCUU